rnacentral:rRNA from 1 species
UACGGAGGGUGCAAGCGUUGUCCGGAUUUAUUGGGUUUAAAGGGUGCGUAGGCGGCCCGUUAAGUCAGUGGUGAAAUCCCAGGGCUCAACCCUGGAACUGCCAUUGAUACUGGCGGGCUUGAGUUCGGUCGAGGCGGGCGGAACUGGUGGUGUAGCGGUGAAAUGCAUAGAUACCACCAAGAACCCCGAUUGCGAAGGCAGCUCGCUGGGCCGAAACUGACGCUGAGGCACGAAAGCGUGGGGAGCGAACAGGAUUAGAAACCCCCGUAGUCC